UGUUUUCCAAUGAAUUUAUUAUGCCGCUAAUUAAAUGACGGCCUCGUCUGGUGAAUGGUUGGGUCAGUCGCAUAAAUUUGUCUUUAGCAUCAAAGAAAAAUUUAUUGAAUUUCAUUUUAAUUGGGCAACACAUUAUUCUAGCUUUAGGCCCAAUUUGUCGACCGGGUCAGUGGCAUAUUUUUUAAGCGAAUGUGUUUAAUCGUGUUGUUUUAUUUUUCUUUUUGCCUAUGCAAAUAUUUCACAUAUAUGCAAUUAAUGAAAACAUAUUUAUACUACGCGCGCAUAUGAGUACAUAUUUCAAUUUGGUCUGUACAAUUAGCAGCGAAUGAAAUUAAAAUUGGAAACGCUUGAAAUAUUAUUAUUUGCAUUUCAUUUGCGCUCAUAAAAAGCGUCAUCGGAACAUUGAACCCCCCCACAAAUGCGGGCCAAUAUUUUCCCUGUUGAUUUUCAACAACAAAAACAACGAUUUCGUACAUGAUUUUAUGUGCUACGCUAAUUUUUGGAUAAUUAAAUUGAUUUCGCUUCCGCUACCUUGCUAGCAGGCCCACGAGGAAAUCGACGCUGAAAAUCGCUUUGAUUCGGCAGAACAAUGUCCCGCUGCGACCAUAUAUACCCUGGGGUAUGUUAAUUUUUGCCGUUUAUAUGGAACGCCACAAAAUUAAUAAUGUAUUUCCAUUUGGGUAAUUUUCGUUUCCUGAACCUGAUUUGCCAGAGCCAUAGGCUCAGUUUUUGGCUUUUAAUCAAGCCACACAGUUUCUUAUUUCAAAAUUCUAAAAUUAAAAUCAAAACAAUUCACAUUUGAAUAUUUUUAAAUUGAAAAGUAUGCUAAAUUUCUAGCGAAUUCCCAUAAAUAUUGCCUCGAAGGCAAAGAGUUGGGGUCAAAAUUAUCUUUGAGGCAAUUUUUUCAAUUUUUUCACAAUUCUAAGAAAAUGUUUACCAUCCCAAAUUUCUUUUAUAUACAAACAAUAAUUUUUAUUUAUUUAUUUGUUUAAGUAUGGUUUGGUAUGGUUCAAUGUGCUCCUGUUUGUCUGUUGACCCUCGACUUAACUCGUUGCGCUUCAUGCAUAUGUGAAUUUAAAUUUCAAGGGUAUCUCAUAUUUGGGUAAACAAAUUAAAGCAAAAUGUACCCGUUUUAAUGUCUUUUGCUUGGAUCGCUUCAAUUAUCACAGUGCCAAACGGUGUGACGCAUUGUUUUCAUUUUUGGAAAUUAUUUACAAAAUAGCCCGAGGCAUGGAUAAAGGCAAAGGCCAAGCAAGUGUUAUCCCGCACUUGUAAAUAUCAUUCAGUCAAAUUGUCGGCAUAUGGCGCAGAAAGCAUUCAAAACUUAUUGUUUACAAUGCUCUUUGCUGCACAUUUCGGUGGCCAACUGGAAUGUUGGCCAACAUUUACAGCUGACUCACGAGCUUCCAACAGCGGAAGAUUUGUGUGAGUGCGUUUCCAAAAUAGAUUCGGCCUGAUCUUAGCACUCACCUUUCGGCCAGAAAUGUGUCCACAGCUAGACAGCCGCAAAAUAAAAAUAUACCAUUUGUUUGGCAAGAGUUUAAUUUAGUUGAAAUUCUGACACAUAUCAAAUAAAUAAAUGCGUUGCGCCAAUAAGCAACUUUUUGAAAUAUAUUUCAAGAA